CAAGGAAAUAUGGAUUUGAACUGGGCGGUUCGACGGCAAACUCAGGCAACGGCAAGAUGCGGCAACCAGCAGGGUUCGGCGGCGACGGAGGCGAGAUGCCACCGGCAGCCAGCUCUUCCCGGAGGAGAUGCUAGGUAAUCUGAAUCGGAAUUUGGACUACAUGCAAGCUGUGUUUCGCCCGCCGUCGCCGCUUCUCCGUGCAAGGCAUGCAUAGCGGCUUGCUUUUUCCUUGACACGAGUACACCUACACAACGCAGUGGAUUUCGACAAUGUGACAUGGCGAUCUAGAUCAAUCUGGCAUGAUUGAUCCACUGUGCAACAGCCAUGCAUGGACAACAUGAGACAUACGUGAUGCAAAAUUAGGCAAAUUUUGUUUUGUUAUCUGGGUAGGAAAAUACCGAUAUAAAAAAUGAAUUGUGCUCCCAUAUUGUAUUCUUAAUCUAUUAAUUGUACUACUCCUUUAUGUAAUAUACCUUUUGAAAUAAUUAUACUUGAUUA